GCUUACGAGAGUUAACACUUAUUUACGUGAAUACCAAUGAAAUUACAGAUGAGAACAUCUACUAUCUACUUAAGUUAUGAAUCUUCCCCAAAAUUCAUAACAUUUCUCCUUAACCGAACUGUGAAAGCAGAUUCGUUGUUCUACGCAAUGAUCACCCCAAUCAUUGCGUAUUUUUUUUGUCUUUGUUUUCA
rfam:Acinetobacter sp. P8-3-8 contig00009, whole genome shotgun sequence.